rnacentral:rRNA from 1 species
GAUGAACGCUGGCGGCGUGCUUAACACAUGCAAGUCGAGCGAAGCACUUUGAUCGGAUUUUUUCGGAAUGACGAUUGAUUUGACUGAGCGGCGGACGGGUGAGUAACGCGUGGGUAACCUGCCUCACACAGGGGGAUAACAGUUGGAAACGGCUGCUAAUACCGCAUAAGCGCACGGGGACGCAUGUUUCUGUGUGAAAAACUCCGGUGGUGUGAGAUGGACCCGCGUCUGAUUAGGUAGUUGGUGAGGUAACGGCUCACCAAGCCGACGAUCAGUAGCCGACCUGAGAGGGUGACCGGCCACAUUGGGACUGAGACACGGCCCAAACUCCUACGGGAGGCAGCAGUGGGGAAUAUUGCACAAUGGGGGAAACCCUGAUGCAGCGACGCCGCGUGAAGGAAGAAGUAUUUCGGUAUGUAAACUUCUAUCAGCAGGGAAGAAAAUGACGGUAC